CUGCAGUGCAGUGAGGCAGUUGUUCCUGGCAGAUCUGGAUCCCAGGCAUAUCUCCAGCCUGGUCCCAGCACUGCCCUUCUCAGUCAGAAGACUUCCGGCAAGUCCUGUUCCCUCUCAGAGCCUCUAUUUCUCAACUCUAAAGCUGGAGAAAUGUUAGCAUUCGCCCCCCAGGGUUGGCGAGAGAAGGACAAGUUCGCCCGCAGCCCAGUGUCUGGUUUGUGUCAAACCACAGUGAAUGUACUUCAAAGAGACCAUGCAAGGGCACUUACCAAGUGUCAGAAGGAAAGAGCUGCAGGAGGAGCCAUCCUCUGAGUCAAGACAAGGGCUGUCCUGACCACUUAGUUUGGGGACACAGGAAGGCAGGGGAUGUGAAGCAAACCAGAGGAGAAGCCGGCUGGACCUUCAGGACGACUUAGCAGUGCAAAGGGGGCUUUGAAAGAGGGCUGGAAGGAGGGAGGUAGCAAGCACCUUGGUCUAGUCCCGGGGCACUCCAAACACACAGAGAGAGCCUGUCUGUGGGCUUCUCUCAGAUAGAGGACCACCGAUUCUCAGCCCCAGAGCGGGGGUGAGCAAAGAGGUGGGCCGGUAGAAUUCAGAGGGCACCUUCUUAUCUGAAGAAGGUCAGCAGUGAAGCUGGCCCAGGGAUCACUUCAGAAUGACUUCCCAGAGCCAGCUGUCUACUGGGUUAGUGUCCAUUCAUAUCUAGCUUUUAAGUACUAACCAUGCCCUCGCCUGAGGCUCAGCCCAGGGUCUGGGAGACGAAGGACAGUAGUUCCUGUUUUUUCAUGUGGUCUGGUGACAAAGGCACAUGCACUUUAUUUUAGGACAAGACAAACACCAAAGGGCAGUGUUGGACUGCAGGGGGGACCAGGAGACCUUACUGACUCGUCGGCAAUAAAGUUUGUGUGGAACUGACAUCCUAGCAGGCUCCUGGGCGAUGCAGAUGCUGGCAUUCUGGGCACUGCCCUUUGGAAAGCUAUGAUGACCACUGAAGCAGAACAGACCAAAGCAAAGAGGUGGGAAAGUCGCGAGAAGAUACAGGACUGGCUGGGAUACAUCAGGAAGAGGAGCUGCGAUGGAUGGGACUUCAAAUGGAAGUUGGUGAUUAUAUCCGUCCCAGCACCUCCCGCCUUGCAAGAGAGGCCUUAUAAAUCCUGGUCACAAGGAAGGGAAACAGAAGCUCAAGGAAGAGAGAGCCAUGGCUUCCUAGGUGUCAGUGAAGACCCAGACGCUGAAACUAUAACCGCCUAGUUCAGAAACCUAUACUUUGCUUGACCACAAUCCAAGCAGGGGGUGGGGAUGGGAUGUUUUUCUGCAGGGCUGGACAUAGAGUCAGUGUUCAGAGCACAUUGUUGGAGAGAGGAAGGAUGGGUGAGUGAAUAAGUGAAGAAAUGAAUGAGAGAACAGAACCACUUUGAGAGCCUGGAAACCGGGACCUCACGCUCUGUGACCUCACGCUCCAACUUCCCCUCCUCCCCGAGUCUGAUCUGAAAGGUGACCCCCGUUCCUCUCGCCCAGGUGAUAAAGCCAGGUGCAGGUGCACCUGUUACCCAAACCUGAUAUCCAAAUAGGAAGUAAGGCUGAGAUAAGGCUGUGGAGGGCAGUGCCUGGAAUCACGGGGUUGGGCUGGCCAUUGGCUUGAUGCCACAAGUGUCCACCGAGCCUCUCCUAAAGGUUGAGCUCUAUGCCAGGUUCCUUCAGGGUGAGGCAGGAAGCCACGCAGCUCCUGACCUCCAACAGCUUAUGGAAAAAAAAAAUACUUACAAACAGGAUGUGGGUCGGGCAAAGGGAGAAGUGUGAAGCAGGUGGCCAUUGCUCCCUGACAGCUCCAACAGGGAGUUGGGACUGAGAGAUGAGAAGAAAUGAGGCAGUAGUUAGUGAUGCCAGGGGAGGGGCCUGACCCUUGCACUGCCAUUGCUGAGGAAUAAGAGGUCCUUAAAGUUUAGCUCCUCAGACCCAGACCCCUCCCCAGUCCUCCUAC
rnacentral:lncRNA from 1 species